AGAGUUUGAUCAUGGCUCAGGACAAACGCUGGCGGCGUGCCUAACACAUGCAAGUCGCACGUCCUCGUGGGGUUCGCUCCACGAGGGAGUGGCGGACGGGUGAGGAACACAUGGGUGACCUACCCUCCAGUGAGGAAUACCGGUCCGAAAGGGCCGACAAGACCGCAUAGGCUUCGUUUGGUCGUGCGAACGAAGCAAAGCCGCAAGGCGCUGGAGGAGGGGCCUGUGCCCGAUUAGCUAGCUGGUGGGGUAAUGGCUCACCAGGGCGACGAUCGGUAGCUGGUCUGAGAGGACGAUCAGCCACACUGGGAUUGAGAACGGCCCAGACUCCUACGGGGGGCAGCAGUGAGGAAUUUUCCGCAAUGGACGCAAGUCUGACGGAGCAACGCCGCGUGCAGGAAGACGGCCUUCGGGUUGUAAACUGCUUUUCUGGGGGACGAGUAAGGACGGUACCCCAGGAAGAAGCCCCGGCUCACUACGUGCCAGCAGCCGCGGUAAUACGUAGGGGGCGAGCGUUGUCCGGAGUUACUGGGCGUAAAGCGCACGCAGGCGGUCGCCCGCGUUUCGGCUGACAGUGGAGGGCUUCACUCUCCAAGGCGUCG
rnacentral:rRNA from 1 species